rnacentral:rRNA from 1 species
GAUGAACGCUGGCGGCGUGCCUAAUACAUGCAAGUCGAGCGAACGGACGAGAAGCUUGCCUCUCUGAUGUUAGCGGCGGACGGGGGAGUAACACGUGGAUAACCUACCUAUAAGACUGGGAUAACUUCGGGAAACCGUAGCUAAUACCGGAUAAUAUUUUGAACCGCAUGGUUCAAAAGUGAAAGACGGUCUUGCUGUCACUUAUAGAUGGAUCCGCGCUGCAUUAGCUAGUUGGUAAGGUAACGGCUUACCAAGGCAACGAUGCAUAGCCGACCUGAGAGGGUGAUCGGCCACACUGGAACUGGGACACGGUCCAGACUCCUACGGGAGGCAGCAGUAGGGAAUCUUCCGAAAUGGGCGGAAGCCUGAAGGAGCAACGCCGCGUGAGUGAUGAAGGUCUUCGGAUCGUAAAACUCUGUUAUUAGGGAAGAAAAUAUGUGUAAGUAACUGUGCACAUCUUGACGGUACCUAAUCAGAAAGCCACGGCUAACUACGUG